rnacentral:rRNA from 1 species
UACGUAGGGGGCUAGCGUUGUCCGGAUUUAUUGGGCGUAAAGAGCUCGUAGGUGGUUCGGUAAGUCGGAUGUGAAAUCUCCAGGCUCAACCUGGAGGGGUCAUUCGAUACUGCCGUGACUAGAGUUCGGUAGAGGAGUGUGGAAUUCCUGGUGGAGCGGUGAAAUGCGCAGAGAUCAGGAGGAACACCCGUAGCGAAGGCGGCACUCUGGGCCGAUACUGACACUGAGGAACGAAAGCGUGGGGAGCGAACAGG